rnacentral:snRNA from 1 species
AUCGCUUCUCGGCCUUUUGGCUAAGAUCAAGUGUAGCAUUUACACUGGCAGUCAGAGCAUCUAGUUUAGACUGCAUUUCAUUCAUAGCUUUUUAAAGUUCAGCUAGAUUAGAUCUCAUUUCAGCCCUUAGAGAUUUGUUGUUUUCAUUAA